CGGAAUGCAGCGGCCCGAGGCCUGGCCACGUCCGCACCCGGGGGAGGGGGCCGCGGCGGCCCAGGCAGGGGUCCCGGCAACGCCCACUCGAGCCGGGGAGCCCGCGGGGCCUCGGUUGCAGGAACCUUCCCUCUACACCAUCAAGGCUGUUUUCAUCCUGGAUAAUGAUGGGCGCCGGCUGCUGGCCAAGUAUUAUGACGACACAUUCCCCUCCACGAAGGAGCAGAUGGUCUUUGAGAAAAAUGUCUUCAACAAGACCAGCCGGACCGACAGCGAGAUUGCAUUUUUUGGGGGCAUGACCAUUGUCUACAAGAGCAGCAUCGACCUCUUCUUGUAUGUGGUGGGCUCAUCCCAUGAGAAUGAGCUGAUGCUCAUGGCUGUUCUCACUUGCCUGUUUGAGUCUCUGAACCACAUGUUAAGGAAGAAUGUGGAGAAGCGCUGGCUGCUGGAGAACAUGGACGGAGCCUUCCUGGUGCUGGAUGAAAUUGUGGAUGGCGGCGUGAUUCUAGAGAGUGACCCCCAGCAAGUGAUCCAGAAAGUGAAUUUUCGGGCAGAUGAUGGCGGCUUGACUGAACAGAGCGUGGCCCAGGUCUUUCUGCCCAGACUAAUCCUGCUUUUAUGGAUCUUCCUGCCCUGGCACUAACUACCUCCACUAUGUGGCCCCGGGCCAAGAUGGGUCUGUGCCAUUUCGUGUGGAGCCCCAGGUUCUUCAGUCUGCCAAGGAACAAAUUAGAUGGUCAUUACUGAAAUGAAGGCUGUGGAUGUAAGCCUCCCUACCCCUGGAAAAUUUCCCCAGUCCUGGAAAAAGUCCAAAGACCCCAGAGGACAGGAGAAACUCCUCUGCGUCCCCAGACUCCUCCUGGAAUUGACUUCUGAGGUCCCUGCCAGGGACUCUGAAAUGCAAAGGUUUGGCCCCAGCACUGAGUCAUCCCUUCCCAUGCCCUGGCCUGCCCACUAGGGCAUGAGAACCAGUUGAGCUGCUUUAACUCAGACCUUAGGCAUUCCUGGCCCCAGAGCCCUAAUAAACCUGCUUUUGUUUGCUGGC